rnacentral:rRNA from 1 species
GAUGAACGCUGGCGGCGUGCCUAAUACAUGCAAGUCGAGCGAACAGACGAGGAGCUUGCUCCUCUGACGUUAGCGGCGGACGGGUGAGUAACACGUGGAUAACCUACCUAUAAGACUGGGAUAACUUCGGGAAACCGGAGCUAAUACCGGAUAAUAUAUUGAACCGCAUGGUUCAAUAGUGAAAGACGGUUUUGCUGUCCCUUAUAGAUGGAUCCGCGUCGCAUUAGCUAGUUGGUAAGGUAACGGGUUACCAAGGCAACGAUGCGUAGCCGACCUGAGAGGGUGAUCAGCCACACUGGAACUGAGACACGGUCCAGACUCCUACGGGAGGCAGCAGUAGGGAAUCUUCCGCAAUGGGCGAAAGCCUGACGGAGCAACGCCGCGUGAGUGAUGAAGGUCUUCGGAUCGUAAAACUCUGUUAUUAGGGAAGAACAAAUGUGUAAGUAACUAUGCACGUCUUGACGGUACCUAAUCAGAGAGCCACGGCUAACUACGUG